AGUGCCUAAUACAUGCAAGUCGAGCGAACGGACGAGAAGCUUGCUUCUCUGAUGUUAGCGGCGGACGGGUGAGUAACACGUGGAUAACCUACCUAUAAGACUGGGAUAACUUCGGGAAACCGGAGCUAAUACCGGAUAAUAUUUUGAACCGCAUGGUUCAAAAGUGAAAGACGGUCUUGCUGUCACUUAUAGAUGGAUCCGCGCUGCAUUAGCUAGUUGGUAAGGUAACGGCUUACCAAGGCAACGAUGCAUAGCCGACCUGAGAGGGUGAUCGGCCACACUGGAACUGAGACACGGUCCAGACUCCUACGGGAGGCAGCAGUAGGGAAUCUUCCGCAAUGGGCGAAAGCCUGACGGAGCAACGCCGCGUGAGUGAUGAAGGUCUUCGGAUCGUAAAACUCUGUUAUUAGGGAAGAACAUAUGUGUAAGUAACUGUGCACAUCUUGACGGUACCUAAUCAGAAAGCCACGGCUAACUACGUGCCAGCAGCCGCGGUAAUACGUAGGUGGCAAGCGUUAUCCGGAAUUAUUGGGCGUAAAGCGCGCGUAGUCGGUUUUUUAAGUCUGAUGUGAAAGCCCACGGCUCAACCGUGGAGGGUCAUUGGAAACUGGAAAACUUGAGUGCAGAAGAGGAAAGUGGAAUUCCAUGUGUAGCGGUGAUAUGCGCAGAGAUAUGGAGGAACACCAGUGGCGAAGG
rnacentral:rRNA from 1 species